rnacentral:rRNA from 1 species
GACGAACGCUGGCGGCGUGCUUAACACAUGCAAGUCGAGCGGUAAGGCCCUUUCGGGGGUACACGAGCGGCGAACGGGUGAGUAACACGUGGGUGACCUGCCCUCAGCUCUGGGAUAAGCCUGGGAAACCGGGUCUAAUACUGGAUAUGACUCCAUGACGCAUGUUGUGGGGUGGAAAGCCUUGUGCGGCUGAGGAUGGGCCCGCGGCCUAUCAGCUUGUUGGUGGGGUGAUGGCCUACCAAGGCGACGACGGGUAGCCGGCCUGAGAGGGCGACCGGCCACACUGGGACUGAGACACGGCCCACGACUCCUACGGGAGGCAGCAGUGGGGAAUCUUGCGCAAUGGGCGAAAGCCUGACGCAGCGACGCCGCGUGAGGGAUGACGG